ACAAGGUGUUGGACAGUCUCCGUUUAUUCAUUGCAAAGUCGAUAUUUCCAUAUUGAUAUUUUCUUUAAGAAUCGUUGAUUUUAGGCGAUUGCGAGAGGGAAGUGACCAAUCCUGAGCAGCUAAAAGGAAGCCCUCAGUUUUACAUUUAAGACCAGCCGACUUCUAUCCAGGCGAAGGAGUUUGACAGAGAGCUUAUACACAAAUA